rnacentral:rRNA from 1 species
UGGGGAAUAUUGCACAAUGGGCGCAAGCCUGAUGCAGCGACGCCGCGUGCGGGAUGGAGGCCUUCGGGUUGUAAACCGCUUUUGUUCAAGGGCAAGGCACGGCUUCGGGCCGUGUUGAGUGGAUUGUUCGAAUAAGCACCGGCUAACUACGUGCCAGCAGCCGCGGUAAUACGUAGGGUGCGAGCGUUAUCCGGAUUUAUUGGGCGUAAAGGGCUCGUAGGCGGUUCGUCGCGUCCGGUGUGAAAGUCCAUCGCCUAACGGUGGAUCUGCGCCGGGUACGGGCGGGCUGGAGUGCGGUAGGGGAGACUGGAAUUCCCGGUGUAACGGUGGAAUGUGUAGAUAUCGGGAAGAACACCAAUGGCGAAGGCAUGUCUCUGGGCCGUUACUGACGCUGAGGGGACGCAAGCAGUGGCAGCGGGAAGCAGGAAUAGGAUUACCAC